UUCUGGUACUGUCUGAAAAAUGACAGUCAUAUCUUUUCUGGUUUACAAGGGAGAGGCCACAGCAGAGCAUCUAUCACUUUAAACACAUCUCAUACCUGUGUGAUGAGGUAGCCUUAGCCUGACCUCAUCACCAUUUUAAAAGGGGUUCAGCAGCGACACUGGUGUCAGGAAGUUUAUGGAGCAUCAGCCCCCCUGUUGGAAAGCCAGAGGUAGAUUUCCUCAGCCUUCACAAGCAUCUUCUGGUGACACCAUGGGUUGCCAACGAGGAGGUGAACACCGAGAAGGAUUCCACAGAGAAUGUAGACCUCAACCAGCUAGGCACUAUUCACCAAGGAGUAAUGUGACUGGAGAUUAAAUCUGAGCAACUCACUCUGAGCAACACCAACAGCAAGGACAACCGUAACAAAGAUGUCCUCCCCCUGCAAGAGAGGACGGAGCUGGAGGCAAAUAGCCAAAGAA